UGUCAUUUUAUGCGCUUCUAAAACCAUAGCAGGACACCAAUGUGCUGAUGGCUACCUAUAAAAGCCUUGGAUCACAAGGAUCACAAAGUUCACAACUGGUUUCAUUUCAGCUCGUGGCUUCAGAUUAGCGGCGUCUCCUUGCAUCUGGCUCUGCUUCGCUUAAUUCUGCAGUCCCUCCAUGGCCAUCGUGCCUGGCUCAUCUUCUUCAGCAGAACUGUGUGACACUUACCAGGGAUGAGCUGAGGCUUGCCCUACAGAUGUGAUCCGCAUCUACAGAUACCUGCAGUGAGAUGACUGCUGGUGGAAUGAUGGGAGUUAAGUCUAGUUUUGUUCGUGUUCUCUGGAUAACUUUAUCUAUGAUGAUAACUAUUAUAGUUAUCUGUGAAUAAAAUUGAUGUCAAUUUUAGAUUGGGACUAUAAUGAUAGUCAUGCCAAGAAGUGUUUAAUUGCCUAUGUCAUUAACUUAGAGACAAAGUAACUUUUUGGCAGCUCCCACAUGAUCCAAAACCAGAUUGCUUUCUGACCUUCAAAAAUUAUACAAUAUUAAUAAAACUAUUUGUAAUCUUUAAUGAGAGCUUGUGUUAUCAGAAGUAAUUUAAAAUUUAUUUUUAGGCCCUUUAUGCAUUUUGAAUUUUGUAAUUAUUAUGCAUGCUUUAAGUUGGUAAGGGAUCAACUUAUAUUUCUCUGGUUUAGAACAAUUUUCUACUUGGCAAUUUUCUCUAAUGUAUAUUCUCUUCCCUUGUGAAUAUACAAAUUUAUGUCUGGAUUAAUGUUGUACCAAUUGGUUUACCCAGUCCAGUAAGAAUUAAAGUAGCAGCACAUAGAGGUUGAGUGACAAAACUCACAGGUGCUGUGACCUGUUCUGAAAUGAGUGGUGUUGAUGAGAAAUAUUUAGAAGGUCUGCCAUCUAUGCUAUGUAUGGUUGCAAGUGGGAAAGGAGUAACGACGGCCCCCUUAACAAGAAGGCCAGAUAUUUACACAUUUAAACUCCCAACAUAAGAAGUGCACAUUUGGUCAUGAACACUGAAGUAUGGUUUCAUUAACUUGGUUAUGUUUAUAAUCAUGUGGCUAACUUUGAAUGUUGUUAGCUAAAGCACAUGUUGUUACUGACCUUAAAGAAGGGUAACACAGUUUACACUGAUUAUUUUAUAGAGUGAUCUUGAGAUAUUGAAAAUGUUUUUAUUAUUAUUCUGUCUUCUGCUGUUUCCUUUCUGCUGAGAUCACAUUAACCUUAGGGAUACAACUGUAACCAGUGAUUUAGACUCUCUGUGUCUUUACAAGCUCUGUAAUAAUACUCCGUGGUGCAGUAGCCUGGGCAUGGAUGUAUGUUCUUUAUUGUCCAUCCUCCACAGAAAUAGUUCUUGUGCUUAGGGGUACAAGAACUGUAUCUGCUGUAGAGAACCUAGCCAAACAAUUGCAUAGUUUACAAAUGGGCUAUAGUGGCCUUACCUGUUUGUUUUGUUGUUGUUGUUGUUUUGACUGUUAAUCUUGCCUUUACCUUCUUGUUUUCCUGUUCUGACUCAGCUAAUAUAGAAUUAUGCAGAAUGGAUCACUGAAGGAUUAAUUUUAUUUGUCAAAUGCAAAACUUUUUUUUUUUUAAUUAUUACUCUUGGAUCAGAGAUAUUCUGCACUAUAAACAAGAGCAUGCCAAAAUCUGGUAGGCUGGUGCAGAGUUACAAGGGGGUAGGGAGGAGGAUAGAAUCUGUAUGACUCGACAGAUUCUACACUUAACUCUUCCUUUCUUUUCCUGAGUGCAAAUUCAUACCUUACCAGCCUGCCAGAAGAGGCCAUAAGUUAUGGGCAGAAUUCUGGAGCAAAGGUCUCUUAUUAUGUGUUUUUAGAAGAAGAAGAAGAAAAAAAUCCUCCCAAACCUAAAGGAACAAAUUAAACUAUUCUGAGAAACGAAAAAAUUAUAAAGGAGUCAGAACAGACCUGCACCUGCUUCAUCUUAUGCUACAACAUAAACUAUAAAACCGUGACAUGGAUUAUAAGGAAACCCGAUUUUCCUCAUUGUUAUUUGGUUGGUUGAAAGAAGUAUCUGGCUAUCACAAAUUUGUGGUGGGGUCCUAGUGGGAAUAUGCUUCAUUUUCUGAAUGGUGUAGAAAAAUUAGAGCUCGAUACACCAAAAUAUUUGAGUAAACAGGUUGGCUUAAUGGUUUAGGCUGAAGACAUAUUUAGAAUCUUUGCUGGACUGGAGUAGAUGUCUCAUUCAAAGCACAAAAUAUGCUAUUAGGAGGUACAGGUAAUUCAGUGAAAACUGGGUUGUAAUUCUGUCAAUCAGCAAAGUGGUUUGGAAAGUGGUGGUAGAAGAAGUAAGGCUGCUCCUAGGUGAAAUAUCUAUUGUUCUUGGUUGUUGCUCUUGUGGUGUUUGAGUACCUUUAUUGAUGAUCACUUCCAUGGCAUGUAGUUACAGCCAUAUGGAAGCUUUUAAUUGACUGAAAAGGUGUUUUAAUGUAUCACCUUAGACCCAUAAUAAAAAUUCAUCAUUUGGGUUUCAUGCUCUACUGAGAAAAAGCAUAAAGAUGUGGUGUAGGCAAAAGGUAUUAUCUUCAGAUUCCUUUCUGGGCCUCAAGGUAUGACCAAAGGCUUCCAUCAGGUGACAAGCACUGGCCGAUAUUCUCAGAGCCAUGUCUCACACUGAUGUCUGUCUUGAGUAUAGGUGUUGGAUCAACAGCUGGGGAAUACAGUGGGGAUUUCAGUCUGAUGUCACAUCCUGUACUGGGUACUUACUUUUUCAGGACAAAUUCAUCCAUGAUUUCCUAAUUUUUAUUUAUUUUUUUUUUCCUGAAAAGUAGUAUACCCACAAUGUUUUUUCUCCACCAAAGUAAUUUAGAAGCUAUUCUUCAGCUGCUAGAAGUUUUCUUUCUGCAACUUGGAAAGAGAAAGGAAGUAAAGUUGUGAGACACAUGUGGUGACCUGAAGAGAUGAAGGUGGAAAGCAGGCAGGCGAAUGUGAUGGAGCAGUGAUAAUAAUGAGGCCUGGCCCUGCUGCUCUGGCUUUCUGACAGCCUUGUGGCCACUGCGAUUUUGGUUUCAUGCCCUUUUCCACUGGCAUUACAUUGUCUCCCUGUAUGAUAUCUGGGGACUUGUGUUCUCAUCUGUCCACCCUUCUUUUUUUGAGUUAGCUUCUGGGAAGCAAACAGUGCAAAUGUCCCAGAAUAUGCUUCUUGGAUGAAUGUGAAAAAUUCCUGCCAGGUUGGAGUGUUCUUGGUGUGGUGUCUUGUGGUAGCAGUACCUCAGCAGGGAGAAUGGCUGGGACUGCACAGAGCUGAGUCCUGCUCUGUUCCCUCAUCACUACUGAGCUUGUGGGAUUCAGGUGGGAGUCUGGGUAGGUGUCAGGACCUUUUGGACUCUUACUCUCUCCUGUUUGACACACUCUUAUUGUGCCCUAACAGUUGCAUUCAGAAUAAGUUAUCAGUCACUGCUUCUUUCUUGUCCUUUUAAUUUCCUUCCAGUAAAGUUCAGAGGCAAGGAUCUGACUACAAUUUUACUGUCUUUGCUUUUGCCGCCUCCGUAGCUCCAGAGCAGAGUGGUUAUCUCUACGAAAAUGUCAUUGCUGGGACUCAGAUCCUGAAGCACCCUCCAGCCCCAUACCCCUCAGAAGGUGAUGUACAAACUGCACCAAGAGGCACCUGGUACCUUACAGUAUUGGCAAGUUUUCCCUGGCACUCCUGUGGGCACAUGUCAGGGACACUGAAGACUUCCCAUCUUGAGCUGCCAUGCAAACGGAAUAUAUACAUUCAGAGACAUGAUGAACAGGCAGUAUCAAGAGCUACCUGACCCAGAAGAAGUCUAGAGAAGUCUAGCUGUGAAAGUAUUCCUCCUUUAAGCACUUGGUGGAUGACAGAGCAGUGUGUUGAAUGGACAUAAAGCAACACUACUGCUGAGAAGGGCCGGGUGCUCCUCAGCAGUGCCGCUGCUCCCAGGCCUGUUGAAGGUACUGCUGAACCUUUCCCAGGAACUUGUCUCUGCAUGCUGUGAAGACAAUAUACUCUCUGCUGUUUGGGUUAAUGCUACAAGGACCAUGGGAGUUGGAAGACACUGCAGGACCAAUGACUGGUCAACUUUACAAGGAAAUGGGCAAGUUGCAGCAACGACUCAAGCUAAGCUGGUGCUGGCAUCCAAAAAUCCUACUCUGCCUGUCCUGAGUGGCCACUUUGGUAGAUGAAGCCCAAAUCAUCAACAGUUCUUAUGAACAUUUUGGGAGAGGCCUAUAGAAUGAA